CCUGGGGAGGCCUCUCCAGGGAUCUGGGCUGGGGCGGGGAAGAGGAGCAGGAUCCCAGAUGGGGCUGAUCAGAAAAGCACACACAUGCGCACCAAAAGACAGGACUGGAGUGCUGACAGUAGCCCCGGGCUGGAAACCACAAAUGCCCAUCAGCAGUGGGAUUCGUAAAUGCCUUGUGGUGCAGUGACACGAAGGGGUACGAGAAGCACAGAGAAGAAGCAAAGCUGCAACCACUGACAAAAGCCUGUCUUGGUGGGGACAUCCCUGGCUGUGUCCAUCUACCUGAAGUGGGCCCACUUGCACCGUCUUCCAGUGGGGCCCCUACUCAU